rnacentral:rRNA from 1 species
GACGAACGCUGGCGGCGUGCCUAAUACAUGCAAGUAGAACGCUGAAGAGAGGAGCUUGCUCUUCUUGGAUGAGUUGCGAACGGGUGAGUAACGCGUAGGUAACCUGCCUUGUAGCGGGGGAUAACUAUUGGAAACGAUAGCUAAUACCGCAUAACAAUGGAUGACACAUGUCAUUUAUUUGAAAGGGGCAAUUGCUCCACUACAAGAUGGACCUGCGUUGUAUUAGCUAGUAGGUGAGGUAACGGCUCACCUAGGCGACGAUACAUAGCCGACCUGAGAGGGUGAUCGGCCACACUGGGACUGAGACACGGCCCAGACUCCUACGGGAGGCAGCAGUAGGGAAUCUUCGGCAAUGGGGGCAACCCUGACCGAGCAACGCCGCGUGAGUGAAGAAGGUUUUCGGAUCGUAAAGCUCUGUUGUAAGUCAAGAACGAGUGUGAGAGUGGAAAGUUCACACUGUGAUGGUAGCUUACCAGAAAGGGACGGCUAACUACGUGCCAGCAGCCGCGGUAAUACGUAGGUCCCGAGCGUUGUCCGGAUUUAUUGGGCGUAAAGCGAGCGCAGGCGGUUUGAUAAGUCUGAAGUUAAAGGCUGUGGCUCAACCAUAGUUCGCUUUGGAAACUGUCAAACUUGAGUGCAGAAGGGGAGAGUGGAAUUCCAUGUGUAGCGGUGAAAUGCGUAGAUAUAUGGAGGAACACCGGUGGCGAAAGCGGCUCUCUGGUCUGUAACUGACGCUGAGGCUCGAAAGCGUGGGGAGCGAACAGG